rnacentral:tRNA from 3 species
GGGGCCAUGGCGCAACUGGUAGCGCACCUGCUUUGCAAGCAGGGGGUUAGGGGUUCGAGUCCCCUUGGCUCCA